CUGGGGGGAGGGACAGCGGAGUCCACGGCGCGAGUGCGCAGCGGAGCCCCGGGAACCCGCACCCCUCGGGAUCGGAAGCAAAACGUUGGUGUCCCGAAUAAAAUGCUGUCGUCUGCAAACUCAACUCUGAUUUGUCUUUUGACAAAGUUGGAGGCCUCAUCGAGGUAGAGAGGGUGCCCUCUGGGGCUGCGGGCUCCGGCGA
rnacentral:lncRNA from 1 species